AUUGAACGCUGGCGGCAGGCCUAACACAUGCAAGUCGAGCGGAUGAAGGGAGCUUGCUCCUGGAUUCAGCGGCGGACGGGUGAGUAAUGCCUAGGAAUCUGCCUGGUAGUGGGGGAUAACGUCCGGAAACGGGCGCUAAUACCGCAUACGUCCUGAGGGAGAAAGUGGGGGAUCUUCGGACCUCACGCUAUCAGAUGAGCCUAGGUCGGAUUAGCUAGUUGGUGGGGUAAAGGCCUACCAAGGCGACGAUCCGUAACUGGUCUGAGAGGAUGAUCAGUCACACUGGAACUGAGACACGGUCCAGACUCCUACGGGAGGCAGCAGUGGGGAAUAUUGGACAAUGGGCGAAAGCCUGAUCCAGCUAUGCCGCGUGUGUGAAGAAGGUCUUCGGAUUGUAAAGCACUUUAAGUUGGGAGGAAGGGCAGUAAGUUAAUACCUUGCUGUUUUGACGUUACAAACAGAAUAAGCACCGGCUAACUUCGUG
rnacentral:rRNA from 1 species